AUUCUUGAAUUCUGCCUUCAAAUAAAUCAUGGUUAGAUAAAUACUAAAUUUUGACUAUAAAGUGGCAUUGGUACUACAUAACUUAACUAUGCAUUUCUUUUUAACCAUGGCAUGCACGUCUUACUUAUUUUUCUAUUAUAUGCUUUUGUGUCUCAGCUAAAGCUAUAGACGAAUGUCCUGACCUCAAGACCAAGGCUGCUGAGUCAAAUAAAGCAGCAAAGAUAGAUUCAAGAUCAAAAUCCAUUGUUGAAAGGAUGCUUGAUAAAACUGGCUCACCCGGGCUACAAAUUAGGUUAAGUUUAGCGCAACAGCACUACGAGAAACACAAGCAUUGUCUACUAUAGGGAAGGCAUAAAUCAGUUCCUGUGUGAUAGUCUAACAAGCGCUAAUGCUGAGCUCUUGACAGUUUAUGGAACAGAAGAAGCAACUGAUACACUGAUUGAGCAGAUAACUUGGGAUCAAGACCCCAUACUACGUUAUGGAUAAAUGUAUGCAUUUGCAUUGGCUUACAGUAGAACUGCAAACAACAAGGCCAUUCGACAGCUGCUGCAUUUUGCUGCAUCAGAAUUGAGUGACAAUGUUAGGCACACUGCAGUUUUGGCACUGGGUUAGUUUCUCUUACGUUCAGACUCCUCAAAUCGUCUCCCUGCUCUCUGAAUCAUAUAAUCCACAUGUUCAUCAUAGUCCAGUUCUUAUGUUUGGCAUAUCAUGUGCUGGUACUGGUCUGAGCGAGGCCAUAUCAUUGCUGGAGCCUUUGACAUCAGAUGUGCCAGCGAUUCCCCUGUUGAUGCAUUCAGAUUCAUGGUGCUGCAGAAAGGAAAUCAGAACUGGAGCUCUUUGAAUGGACUAAGCAUUUUGAGCUCAUGUGUAACACAUAGUUCACGACACAAGCCUGAACUAGCGUGUCAGUUAUUGCUUUUUUUUUUUUUUUUAUAGCAGCAUGGACGUUAUUCUUUUACUUUUAUAACGGGAAACUCAUUCUAUUGAUUUUUGCUCACACUUAAUAUCAGAGCCUAAAACAUCAUGCAGUGAAAGCAAUUGCUCAUGCUCAUUCAUUGUAAGACACUUAUUGCGCUUAUAGAUUGUGUAUACAACUUCCGCAUUGCUAUUAUUAUCUGUUUCUUAUUUUCGCUUC